UGUUCUUUGGCGAAGUUGGUUAACGCGCUUUGUCUAGCGAUCUGGGGGAGACGUGGGUUCAAACCCCACCAGAACUA
rnacentral:tRNA from 1 species